rnacentral:rRNA from 1 species
AUGGGCCCUGCGGCGGUCGCCGUGCUGGUCAUCCUCUGCGCCGCCGGCGCCGAGGCCCGCGUCCCGGCCGGUCACCUCGCGACGAGGCGGCGCGACAGUGUUCCCGCGGGCGUGGGUGCGUGCGCGCUGGCCGUGGCGCCCUUCGGCUACCCCUGCGAGGAGCACACGAUGACGACGGUGGACGGGUACAUCCUGAGCCUGCAACGGAUCCCGAGGGGGCGGCGCCCCAGCGGCGGCGGCGGCGCGGGGCAGCCGGUGCUCCUGCAGCACGGCGUUCUCACGGACGGCAUGACAUGGCUGCUGAGCUCGCCGGAGGAAUCGUUGGCGUACAUCCUCGCGGACAGCGGCUUCGACGUCUGGGUCGCCAACAACAGGGGCACCAGGUGGAGCAGCCGCCACGUCUCCCUCGACUCCUCCUCCCGGAGGUACUGGGACUGGUCGUGGGACGACCUGGUGGUGAACGACAUGCCGAGCAUGGUUGACUAUAUCUGCAGCCACACGGCGCAGAAGCCGCACUUCCUCGGCCACUCCAUGGGGACGCUGGUGGCGCUGGCGGCCUUCUCGGAGGGCAGAACGGUGGACAAGCUCAAGUCGGCGGCGCUGCUGACCCCGGUCGCCUAUCUGUCCCACAUGACCACCCCCCUCGGCAUACUGCUAGCCAAGGCAUUCGUCGGAGAGGCCGGCGGUGGCGAGCCUCUUCAAGGAACUGUGCCGCCAUCCUGGAACCAACUGCUACGACCUCCUCACAGACUUCACAGGUAUCUCUACUUUUUGCUAGUACUAGUAUGUGUGCAUGCAUCGAGAGGUUUCAGAGCUGAGCGUCCAUGGCGUGUGCGUACGGCAGGGAAGAACUACUGCCUCAACAGCUCGGCCGUGGACGUCUUCCUCCAGUACGAGCCGCAGCCGACGUCCACCAAGACCAUGGUGCACCUCGCCCAGACGUUCCGCGACGGCGUGCUGUCCAAGUACGACUACGUGUGGCCGGGCGUGAACGUGGAGAAGUACGGCCAGCCGGACCCGCCGGCGUACAACAUGUCCAACAUACCGCCGGGCUUCCCGCUCUUCCUCAGCUACGGCGGCCGGGACGAGCUGGCCGACCCCGUCGACGUCGGCCGCCUCCUCGGCGACCUCCGGGGCCACGACCCCGGCAGGCUCACGGUGCAGUACCUGGAGCAGUUCGCGCACGCCGACUUCGUCAUCGGCACCUGCGCCAAGGACUACGUCUACAAAGACGUCGUCUCCUUCUUCAACCGCUUCAACUAG